ACGGGACUACUUAUCGAUGUUAUUCAACUCCCAAACCCUAUGUGAACUUACCACUUGUUGCUUCGGCGCGCGCUUCGGCGCCGCCGAGGACACCCCAACUCUUUGUUUUUAUAAGCAUUUCUGAGUGGCCGAAAGGCAAAAUACAAAUGAAUCAAAACUUUCAACAACGGAUCUCUUGGUUCUGGCAUCGAUGAAGAACGCAGCGAAAUGCGAUAAGUAAUGUGAAUUGCAGAAUUCAGUGAAUCAUCGAAUCUUUGAACGCACAUUGCGCCCGCCAGCAUUCUGGCGGGCAUGCCUGUUCGAGCGUCAUUUCAACCCUCGAGCCCGACUCUUCGGAGGACGGCUCGGCGUUGGGGGACGGCAGACUCCCCCCGGCAUCUCGCCGGGGACGCCGCCCCCGAAAUUUAGUGGCGGCCCUCCGAGGCGACCUCUGCGUAGUAACUUGUUCUCGCACCGGAAAGCUCAGAGCGGCCACGCCGUAAAACCCCAACUUUUUUUAGGUUGACCUCGAAUCAGGUAGGACUACCCGCUGAACUUAAGCAUAUC
rnacentral:rRNA from 1 species